rnacentral:tRNA from 1 species
CUGCUCUUAGUUUAUAAAAGAAUAAUAAUUUGUCGUAUUAUAGGUAGGUUCAUCUAGCUUAGGGCAGU